UCUUCAGUUGUUAUCAAUUGAAGACAAUGAAUCAACCGGUAUUCUUUAAGAUGUUCUGAGAACAUCAUUUUCUGGCUUCAUUUCCAGGGAAGGAACCAAAAAAGCACAUAAAACCUAAAAGAGGCUGGUGAAGGCUGGUGAAGGGAAUGCUAUACUGUGGGACAUAACCGCUUUGGGGCAAGGAAGACUACAACACCAGUGAUCAAGAAAUGACAAGAGAGAAAAUGUCCACGUCCACCCACUAAAUAGAGAUAAUUUGGCUAUUUGGCCACUGGGCUGGGGAUUGGCAGGAGGCUGGAGACAGAGCACAGCCAGGACAGAGGACCUCACCUGACCAAAGGGGUACCCUGUGCCAUGGAAGGUUGUGCUCAGCUGUAACACUAGGUUAAAGUAGGAAGAAGGUGUGAUGUUCAUGGUUAUGGCAUCUGUCUUCCCAAGCAAUCAGUACGUGUGCUGCAGCCCUGCUUUCCUAGAAGUGGCUGGACAUUGCCAGAGAGUGUAGUCAUUGUGAGGAAUCUCAGUGUGGUAUGGAGAAGGAUCAAGGGUCAGACUGAGACUCUGUGCUGAAAUUGUCCACCUUUGUUGGUUUUAUGACAAUAUUACUUCAAUUUUGGAGUGAGGAACUCUGUUGAUGCAAGGGAAGUUCCUGAAGAGUUCAUGAUGAACACAUACCUUUAAAACAACCCAGUUUCACAGAUGCAAGGCAGGGCAUGUACCAGGUUUAUGUGGCAAGGCUGUGGCAGCUGGGGCAGCAUGCAGAGCUCCUCUGAGAGGAGAUGCCAGGACUGCCCCGUGCCGGACACAGCCAGCUCCAGCCGGCUCCAAUGGCCCCACCACAGGGCACAGCUGGGCCCAGCAGCCAAAAUGGUGGCACCUCAGGGAAAAUAGAUAAAAGAAGGGGGAAAAAGCUGUGAGACAUGAGGAAAACAAAGGCAAGAAAUAGCCUUGCUAACCCCCAGA